rnacentral:rRNA from 1 species
AGAGUUUGAUCCUGGCUCAGGAUGAACGCUGGCGGUAUGCUUAACACAUGCAAGUCGAACGGAAUGCUUCGGCAUUUAGUGGCGGACGGGUGAGUAACGCGUGAGAAUCUGGCUUUAGGUUCGGGACAACAGUGGGAAACUGCUGCUAAUACCGAAUGUGCCUUAGGGUGAAAGAUUAAUUGCCUGAAGAUGAGCUCGCGUCUGAUUAGCUAGUUGGUGAGGUAAAGGCUCACCAAGGCGACGAUCAGUAACUGGUCUGAGAGGAUGACCAGUCACACUGGGACUGAGACACGGCCCAGACUCCUACGGGAGGCAGCAGUGGGGAAUUUUCCGCAAUGGGCGAAAGCCUGACGGAGCAAUACCGCGUGAGGGAGGAAGGCUCUUGGGUUGUAAACCUCUUUUCUCAGGGAAGAACAAAAUGACGGUACCUGAGGAAUAAGCAUCGGCUAACUCCGUGCCAGCAGCCGCGGUAAUACGGAGGAUGCAAGCGUUAUCCGGAAUUAUUGGGCGUAAAGCGUCCGCAGGUGGCAAUUCAAGUCUGCUGUUAAAGGUUCUGGCUCAACCAGGAACAGGCAGUGGAAACUGAAUAGCUAGAGUGCGGUAGGGGCAGAGGGAAUUCCCAGUGUAGCGGUGAAAUGCGUAGAGAUUGGGAAGAACACCGGUGGCGAAAGCGCUCUACUGGACCGUGACUGACACUGAUGGACGAAAGCUAGGGGAGCGAAUGGGAUUAGAUACCCCCGUAGUCC